AAUAAAUCACGUUCAACGUUUGACCAUUCGUUUUAUUUGAAAACUUUUUAUGAUUAGUAUUUUUAUUACUAUUAGAUGAUAAGUAUUUUAUGUGUGACUAAAUACUUUCAAAUUUUUCACAAAUUAUUCAAAUAAGACGGACGGUCAAACGUUGGGCACGAAUAUCCACGGCUGCACUUAUU
rnacentral:pre_miRNA from 1 species